rnacentral:rRNA from 1 species
UGACUACAGGGGUAUCUAAUCCCUUUCGCUCCCCUAGCUUUCGUCCCUCAGUGUCAGUGCAGACCCAGCAAGGCGCCUUCGCCACCGAUGUUCUUCCCAAUAUCUACGCAUUUCACCGCUACACUGGGAAUUCCCCUUGCCCCUAUCGCACUCUAGCCACCCAGUUUCAAUUGCCCUUAUAGAGUUAAGCUCUACGCUUUAGCAACUGACUUGGAUAACCACCUACGGACGCUUUACGCCCAAUAAUUCCGGAUAACGCUUGCCUCCUCCGUAUUACCGCGGCUGCUGGCACGGAGUUAGCCGAGGCUGAUUCAAUAGGUACCGUCAUUGUGUUCUUCCCUAUCAAAAGAGGUUUACAACCAGUAGGCCUUCCUCCCUCACGCGGUCUUGCUCCGUCAGGCUUUCGCCCAUUGCGGAAAAUUCCCCACUGCUGCCUCCCGUAGGAGUCUGGGCCGUGUCUCAGUCCCAGUGUGGCUGAUCAUCCUCUCAGACCAGCUACUGAUCGUCGCCUUGGUAGUCCCUUACACUACCAACUAGCUAAUCAGACGCGAGCUCUUCCUCAGGCCAUAUAAGUUUUACCUCUCGGCACAUCGGGUAUUAGCAGUCGUUUCCAACUGUUGUCCCCAUCCUAAGGGUAGAUUCUCACGCGUUACUCACCCGUCCG